rnacentral:rRNA from 1 species
GCAAGUCAUUGGGAAUGUAAACCCAAAGGCAUAAUGAAAGUAAAGAAUUCGAUUGCGAAUUUGAGGAGAGAUCAAGGGCAGAGAUGGGGUUUCGUAAGACUCACUGUCUCUGUUUUGCGCAUCUCCUGGACGUCUAUACCUCUGAAGGUUGGGCGUACCAAGAGCAUAUACGUUGGGACCCGAAAGGUGGUGAACUAUGCCUGAUCAGAACGAAGUCAGGGGAAACUCUGAUGGAGGUUCGUAGCGAUUCUGACGUGCAAAUCGAUCGUCGGAACU